GAUGAACGCUGGCGGCGUGCCUAAUACAUGCAAGUCGAGCGAACGGACGAGAAGCUUGCUUCUCUGAUGUUAGCGGCGGACGGGUGAGUAACACGUGGAUAACCUACCUAUAAGACUGGGAUAACUUCGGGAAACCGGAGCUAAUACCGGAUAAUAUUUUGAACCGCAUGGUUCAAAAGUGAAAGACGGUCUUGCUGUCACUUAUAGAUGGAUCCGCGCUGCAUUAGCUAGUUGGUAAGGUAACGGCUUACCAAGGCAACGAUGCAUAGCCGACCUGAGAGGGUGAUCGGCCACACUGGAACUGAGACACGGUCCAGACUCCUACGGGAGGCAGCAGUAGGGAACCUUCCGCAAUGGGCGAAAGCCUGACGGAGCAACGCCGCGUGAGUGAUGAAGGUCUUCGGAUCGUAAAACUCUGUUAUUAGGGAAGACCAUAUGUGUAAGUAAAUGUGCACAUCUUGACGGUACCUAAUCAGAAAGCCACGGCUAACUACGUG
rnacentral:rRNA from 1 species